rnacentral:rRNA from 1 species
GCAUAACGCGAAGAACCUUACCCACCUUUGACAUGUACGGAAUCCUUUAGAGAUAGAGGAGUGCUCGAAAGAGAGCCGUAACACAGGUGCUGCAUGGCUGUCGUCAGCUCGUGUCGUGAGAUGUUGGGUUAAGUCCCGCAACGAGCGCAACCCUUGCCAUUAGUUGCUACACUUAGUUGAGCACUCUAAUGGGACUGCCGGUGACAAACCGGAGGAAGGUGGGGAUGACGUCAAGUCCUCAUGGCCCUUAUAGGUGGGGCUACACACGUCAUACAAUGGCGUUAAACAGAGGGAUGCUAAGCCGUGAGGUGGAGCGAACCCCUAAAAGGCGUCUCAGUUCGGAUUGCAGGCUGCAACUCGCCUGCAUGAAGUCGGAAUCGCUAGUAAUCGCGGAUCAGAAUGCCGCGGUGAAUACGUUCCCGGGUCUUGUACACACCG